UACGGGGGGAGCAAGCGUUGUUCGGAUUUACUGGGCGUAAAGGCGCGUAGGCGGUCAGCACAAGUCAGUUGUGAAAUCUCCGGGCUUAACUCGGAAAGGUCAACUGAUACUGUGCGACUAGAGUGCAGAAGGGGCAACUGGAAUUCUCGGUGUAGCGGUGAAAUGCGUAGAUAUCGAGAGGAACACCUGCGGCGAAGGCGGGUUGCUGGGCUGACACUGACGCUGAUGCGCGAAAGCCAGGGGAGCGAACGGG
rnacentral:rRNA from 1 species